UACAGAGGGUGCGAGCGUUGUCCGGAAUCACUGGGCGUAAAGGGCGCGUAGGUGGCCCGGUCAGUUCGUGGUGAAAGCGCGGGGCUCAACCCUGCGUCGGCCAUGAAUACUGCCGCGGCUGGAGCACUGUAGAGGCAGGCGGAAUUCCGGGUGUAGCGGUGGAAUGCGUAGAGAUCCGGAGGAACACCGACGGCGCAGGCAGCGUCCUGGCCGCUUGCCGACACUGAGGCACGAAAGCAUGGGGAGCGAACGGG
rnacentral:rRNA from 1 species